AUGAGUCUUGCCAAAAAGACGUUUGCGUUAUGCUCGUAGACGUCGCCCAAGGAUGAGGCCGCGACCGAUCAGGUUGUUGGUGAGGUAAUGGCUCACCAAGCCUUUUACCGGUGCGGGCCGUGAGAGCGGGAGCCCGGAGAUGGGCACUGAGACAAGGGCCCAGGCCCUACGGGGCGCAGCAGUCGCGAAAACUUUGCAAUACACGAAAGUGUGACAGGGCUAUCCCGAGUGCCAUCCGCUGAGGAAGGCUUUUACCCAGUCUAGAACGCUGGGGGAAUAAGGAGAGGGCAAGUCUGGUGUCAGCCGCCGCGGUAAUACCAGCUCUCCGAGUGGUGUGGAUGUUUAUUGGGCCUAAAGCAUCCGUAGCUGGCUAAGUUAGUCCCCUGUUAAAUCCACCGAAUUAAUCGUUGGAUUGCGGGGGAUACUGCUUGGCUAGGGGACGAGAGAGGCAGACGGUAUUUCCGGGGUAGGGGUGAAAUCCUAUAAUCCCGGGAAGACCACCAGUGGCGAAGGCUGUCUGCUAGAACGCGCCCGACGGUGAGGGAUGAAAGCUGGGGGAGCGAACCGGAUUAGAUACCCGGG
rnacentral:rRNA from 1 species